GCUCUGUGGUUUUCUCCAGACUCCCCUCUGCAAACUACAGAUAUUGAGGAUUUAUUGCCUAAAAACAGCAACUCCUAAACUCCACGUUGCUCAACUGAGAGCCUCCAGGAUUGUCAAAGACUCCUGGAUCAGGUGUUGAAACGUUUUCACAGAAACUGAGUGAAAGUCUGCUAACCUUGGAUUUAAUCCUGUUGUAGUUGCCAUGACUCUGAUGAUUGAGAAUAUUACUUUAUUUUUUAUUUCAUGGGAGUGUUUCUAACAUCAGAUUUGAAUGGACUAAAGUUUAAUUCUUUGUAGGUUAUCUAAGGUUUAUAAAUUGAUAAAUUGCUGCUAAGUGGAGGCAGCAGCAUUAAACUAAACAGUAAUUAUUGAGGAGAAAUCUAAAUAAAUAACAAGUAGUAUCUCCUGUGAAUAGGUGGUACGCUGAGCCAUGAUUAAAGGUUCCAGGGCCCGGUCCAUAGUACUACAUCCCUAUUUAACCUGCUGGUUCAUUAUAGAGCUACAUGGAGCGGUUGUUACACAUGAUGGACUUCUGCUGAAAGCCAUGAAGCAGGUGCUGAACCACCAGAUCAAUGACGUCCCAAAUGAAGCUUUGGACUUCAUUGACCCAUGACCCGGCCCCAUGAAUCAAGCCCCAACAAAGUUCUUCUGAAGGACUGUGUUGCUGUUUCUGACAAAUGCUCCAGAGCUUCAGCUUCAAGCAGACCAUCACUACUGAAAGCCAGCGCUAAGCUGACCACCUCACUAUAGCUGCUGGUGUUGCUAGGAUGUGGUCCUGACGGGCCCAUGUGGGCUGAGGGAGAGGUACCGAGAGACAACACAUCCAGAGGUUUACAUCCUGAAGGUGAGGAAACCAGGGAUAGAAGAACAAAGAUGGAGACGGCAGUACAAGUAACCCCUCCAGAACCGUUGGACUUCUCCUGUCCUGCAGAACGGGCGAGGUGGGCCAGAAGAUUGGAGAGGUUUCAGACUGCAGCAGCUCUAGAUGAGAAAUGUGAGGAAGAUCAAGUUAGUUCCCUCCUGUUUGCUGUGGGAGAAGCUGCAGAUGACAUUUUAGCUGUUGGACCUUUGACUAGAGCAGAGAAAAGAUGGCUGGAGCUGGAAAAGCUGUGUUUGAGCAGCACUAUGUGGGGAAAUCCUCCAUCAUCUUUAAAAGAGCCCAGUUCAGUUCCAGACGUCACCAAGAUGGAGAGAGAGCAGAACCAUUUAUUACAGCUGGACACAAACUGGCAGGAAACUGUGGUUCUGGAGAACUGGAAGAAGAACUCAUACGGGCCAGAACUGUAGCUGGCAUAAAAGGACAUAAAGCUGUCUGAACCGGUACCAAUGGACUCUGAGUUAACGCUCACAAAGGCCAAAGAAAAAGUCCAGCAGAGGGAAACUGUGAAGAACCAUAAACAGUUCUGCUCAGCAGCACAGCAGAGGGGAGCAGAUCCAACAUGGACGCCAGAAGGACCAAGAUGAGAAAAAUGAAGAGCCAGACCCGGCAGCAGUCAGAACGGGACCAAAGCCAGAGAAGCUGGGAGGAAAAGAGUGUGGUGGAUGUGGCUGAAAGCAGAAAGCUUCAUGGAAAGACUGCCCAGCUAGAGAUGUUCAGUGUUGGAGCUGUUAGAAGGAGCUUCUAGCUGGAGUUUGUUGGUUCGGCCCAGCAGCCAAACUACAGGAGGUCCCAGAACCCCAAGAUGACCCAGACAGGCAGGAUGAUGGAUUUCUAGGAGAAAGAGGGUUGAGGAGGUCAGAACCGUGGAGAGAAAAGGUCCAGAUGAACCACCAUGACAGAUAAGGGAGUGGUGUAGGGGUUUCUGGGAAGUUGGAGUAAAAAUGUUCCUAAGCAGAGUCCGGUGGGUCCUGUCUGCUCGUUGUACAGCCAUGUUCUCCUGAUAUUGUUCAGCUCUACUUUCUAGGAGCCCUUUUCAGUGAGCCAGGAUCUAAACAAUGGGAGGACUUGUUGAAAUGACUGCAGACUCUCUGUAAAUAUCCUCACCAUGAAUCCAGCAUCAUCUAAUAUAGCCGACAAUAAAGGAGUCAGAGACACAAGCAGGAAAGUCCAGGAAAAAAUAAGCAGCAUUUUUCCUGAAGAGUCUGAAUGUGGUCCAGAUGUUCUGCAGAGUAAAAACUGGAAAAGGUCCAUUUGUUCUGGGCUCCACCUUCUGGACUGAAGCAACAUUGAGCUCUGAACUGUUGGCCUCCAGUUAAAUCUCAGCUUGGAUGGUUGGAUGAAGAAAUCUGAUGUUUGUUGGGAAUUUGUUCUGCUUUCUUUGCUGAUAACAUUGAUAUCAGACUGGUUCUGUUUGUGAUGCAGCAUCCUGUGUGACAGUAGAACAGGUAGAAGCGCUUCUGUUCUCAGUCAUGUAUUCAUGUGUUUAGAAAUGAGUGAAGUGUAAUUAUUGCAGCUGUUGAUCCUU